ACUUACAGAUGGGCCCGCGGCGCAUUAGCUAGUUGGUGAGGUAACGGCUCACCAACGCAACGAUGCGUAGCCGACCUGAGAGGGUGAUCGGCCACACUGGGACUGAGACACGGCCCAGACUCCUACGGGAGGCAGCAGUAGGGAAUCUUCCGCAAUGGACGAAAGUCUGACGGAGCAACGCCGCGUGAACGAUGAAGGUCUUCGGAUCGUAAAGUUCUGUUGUUAGGGAAGAACAAGUACCGUGCGAACAGAGCGGUACCUUGACGGUACCUAACGAGGAAGCCCCGGCUAACUACGUGCCAGCAGCCGCGGUAAUACGUAGGGGGCAAGCGUUGUCCGGAAUUAUUGGGCGUAAAGCGCGCGCAGGCGGUUCCUUAAGUCUGAUGUGAAAGCCCACGGCUCAACCGUGGAUGGCCAUUGGAAACUGGGGAACUUGAGGACAGAAGAGGAGAGUGGAAUUCCACGUGUAGCGGUGAAAUGCGUAGAUAUGUGGAGGAACACCAGUGGCGAAGGCGACUCUCUGGUCUGUUUCUGACGCUGAGGUGCGAAAGCGUGGGUAGCAAACAGGAUUAGAUACCCUGGUAGUCCACGCCGUAAACGAUGAGUGCUAGGUGUUAGGGGGCUUCCACCCCUUAGUGCUGAAGUUAACGCAUUAAGCACUCCGCUGGGGAGUACGGC
rnacentral:rRNA from 1 species